AGGAGUCACCUGCCCAUUGGGAAAAGGUUCUUGAAGGGAUUCGCAAAAUGAUGUAUUCUGGAGAUGAACCUGUAGACAUGACCACACGUGAAAAAGAUGAUGAUACUCUACCUCCUAAGGAAAGAAGAUUUGCUGUCCUGGCAUCAUCCCUUUUAUCAAGUCAAACUAAGGAGCAUGUUACUCGUGAAUAGGAGGAACUCAACGUCUUCGUGAAAAUGGUCUGCUUAGUGCUGAUGCAAUCAACAGAGCUGAUGAAGAAACCAUAAAAAAGUUGAUUUACCCUGUUGGGUUUUAUACUAGAAAAGCGAGCAACUUGAAGAAAAUUGCUCAUAUUUGUCUCGAGAAGUAUAAUGGAGACAUACCUAGCUCAAUUGAGGAGCUACUCUUACUCCCAGGUGUAGGUCCUA